rnacentral:tRNA from 1 species
GGGCUCAUGGUCUAGUGGUCAUGAGUUGGCCUGUCAUCAGGUCAACUGGCAGACAACGCCCUUACACGGCGUAGGUCCCCGGUUCGAAUCCGGGUGAGCCCA